rnacentral:rRNA from 1 species
UACAGAGGGGGCAAGCGUUAUUCGGAAUUAUUGGGCGUAAAGGGCGCGUAGGCGGCCUGGCAAGUGGAAGGUGAAAUCCCUCGGCUUAACCGAGGAACUGCCCUCCAAACUGCUUGGCUUGAGUCCGGGAGAGGUGAGUGGAAUUCCCAGUGUAGCGGUGAAAUGCGUAGAUAUUGGGAGGAACACCAGUGGCGAAGGCGGCUCACUGGACCAGUACCGACGUUCAGGCACGAAAGCGUGGGGAGCAAACAGG